UACGGAGAGUGCAAGCGUUGUUCGGAUUUACUGGGCGUAAAGGGCGCGUAGGCGGCCACCGCAAGUCGGUUGUGAAAUCUCCGGGCUUAACCCGGAAAGGUCAAUCGAUACUGCGGGGCUAGAGUGCAGAAGGGGCAACUGGAAUUCUCGGUGUAGCGGUGAAAUGCGUAGAUAUCGAGAGGAACACCUGCGGCGAAGGCGGGUUGCUGGGCUGACACUGACGCUGAAGCGCGAAAGCUAGGGGAGCGAACGGG
rnacentral:rRNA from 1 species